CCUUUACAGACGACCGAAACAUUUUCAGAGGGAGAAGCGGGCUCAGAUUUGGUCAAAAUCGUACAACUUUUGUCUUCUCACAGGAAGAACGGUCCUUGGCCUGUUGCAUUGAGGUAUUUUGCCGUCAGUGGACUGACUUUUGUUUCCAAGGUCUUCUGAAAUGUUCCUGUCCUUCCUGACCGGCCAAACUUAAAACCCGGUAACCACAACUACAUACCGUCCAAGAUAUAUACAAGUAUGUAUACUUCUGAAUCUGAUCAUGAGAGCCAUAGAUGCUCUGCCUGCAGCUCAUCUACCGAGAAGGCAGAAUGUUGGCCUGGUUGUAGCUGCUUUACUUACUAUGGUCCUCAUCCCAUGGUCUGGUUGAAUUUUCUCGACUGUGCUGUCUGGUGACAAUCUGGUGGGAUGAUAUUAUAUACCAGUGCUUUGUGGAAAUGAUAUCCUUGUGGAGAAAUCCCUUUAUGAAAAGGUAAGGAUGUUUACCAGUACAACAUUUUUCCAAUACACUCACUUG